AAUUACAUAGUUAUUUCUUAAGGAACACAAAAUAAGUGUUCAUUCUUUGGCAAGUUUACAUUUUUUCUUGAAAUAUGUUGCUUUCAAAGAAAAAGGUUGGGAAAGAUAAACAAACACCAUUGAAACAAAACUAAA
rfam:Fukomys damarensis contig90105, whole genome shotgun sequence.